UGCACUUGCAGGGUGAGAGAGCCUAUCAAAUCAAAACUAAUCAUCCGGUUUGAAUAAAUCGAGUAAUCAAGUACAAUAAGAAGAUUUUAAACUUUUUUUUUUGCAAAUGACUAAUUAACUGUAAAGCCUUUUUUUUUGUUGUAUACAAAAAUUGAAAAGCAAUUGCUCGUAUUACGUCCACCCACUUACUUAUCAAAUUGUCUCCCUUACGUAACCAAAUCACCUUUUUAAAUAAAACAAUGUCCAUUCAAAAAAAAUAAAAAAUCUGCUUUAGCUUUUAAAAAUAAAAUAAUAGUAAAUAAAAACAGUAGAGAAUCAAGAACAAAUCACUUAUAAGGCUUUAGCAAUGUCC
rnacentral:lncRNA from 1 species